CCAUCAAUUUUACUGGUAAAACUUCUCUACUCCCUCCCACUGUGAAUUUUUGGAGUAAUCAGGUGAAAUCUAGUGAUGGUGACAUAAGGAAUCUGCACAAACAACAAGAGGUGCAUGCUGAGUCUAUUGCUAUAGUUUCUCCGCCCCUUGUAGAUCCAGCUUCCACUGGGACAUCUAGUAAGAGUGAGGAACAUAUAAGCCUGACCGAAGCAGACA